GACGAACGCUGGCGGCGUGCUUAACACAUGCAAGUCGAACGGAAAGGCCCUGCUUUUGUGGGGUGCUCGAGUGGCGAACGGGUGAGUAACACGUGAGUAACCUGCCCUUGACUGUGGGAUAACUUCAGGAAACUGGGGCUAAUACCGGAUAGGAGCUCCUGCUGCAUGGUGGGGGUUGGAAAGUGUCGGCGGUUGGGGAUGGACUCGCGGCUUAUCAGCUUGUUGGUGGGGUAGUGGCUUACCAAGGCUUUGACGGGUAGCCGGCCUGAGAGGGUGACCGGCCACAUUGGGACUGAGGUACGGCCCAGACUCCUACGGGAGGCAUCAGUGGGGAAUAUUGCACAAUGGGCGGAAGCCUGAUGCAGCAACGCCGCGUGCGGGAUGACGGCCUUCGGGUUGUAAACCGCUUUCGCCUGUGACGAAGCGUGAGUGACGGUAAUGGGUAAAGAAGCACCGGCUAACUACGUG
rnacentral:rRNA from 1 species